AUAUGCUUGUCUCAAAGAUUAAGCCAUGCAUGUCUCAGUACAAGCCAAAUUAAGGUGAAACCGCGAAAGGCUCAUUAAAUCAGUUAUGGUUCCUUAGAUCGUACCCACAAUUACUUGGAUAACUGUGGUAAUUCUAGAGCUAAUACAUGCAAACAGAGCUCCGACCGGAGACGGAAGGAGUGCUUUUAUUAGAUCAAAACCAAUCGGUGGCGGGUUCGCUCGUUAUCGUACAACUUGGUGACUCUGAAUAACUUUACGCUGAUCGCACGGUCAUCGCACCGGCGACGCAUCUUUCAAAUGUCUGCCUUAUCAACUGUCGAUGGUAGGUUCUGCGCCUACCAUGGUUGUAACGGGUAACGGGGAAUCAGGGUUCGAUUCCGGAGAGGGAGCCUGAGAAACGGCUACCACAUCCAAGGAAGGCAGCAGGCGCGCAAAUUACCCACUCCCGGCACGGGGAGGUAGUGACGAAAAAUAACGAUACGGGACUCAUCCGAGGCCCCGUAAUCGGAAUGAGUACACUCUAAACCCUUUAACGAGGAUCAAUUGGAGGGCAAGUCUGGUGCCAGCAGCCGCGG
rnacentral:rRNA from 1 species